UACGAAGGGGGCUAGCGUUGCUCGGAAUCACUGGGCGUAAAGCGCACGUAGGCGGCUUAUUAAGUCAGAGGUGAAAUCCUGGAGCUCAACUCCAGAACUGCCUUUGAUACUGAUGAGCUUGAGUUCGGGAGAGGUGAGUGGAACUGCGAGUGUAGAGGUGAAAUUCGUAGAUAUUCGCAAGAACACCAGUGGCGAAGGCGGCUCACUGGCCCGAUACUGACGCUGAGGUGCGAAAGCGUGGGGAGCAAACAGG
rnacentral:rRNA from 1 species